GGGGGUGGCAAGCGUUGUUCGGAAUUACUGGGCGUAAAGGGCGCGUAGGCGGCUUUGCAAGUCAGAUGUGAAAGCCCCGAGCUUAACUCGGGAAUUGCAUCUGAAACUGCUUAGCUUGAGUUCUGGAGGGGGUAGUGGAAUUCCCAGUGUAGCGGUGAAAUGCGUAGAUAUUGGGAGGAACACCAGCGGCGAAGGCGGCUACCUGGACAGUAACUGACGCUGAUGCGCGAAAGCUAGGGGAGCGAACGGGAUUAGAUACCCCGGUAGUCCUAGCCGUAAACGAUGGGCACUUGGUGUUGGGGGUAUUGAGUCCCCCGGUGCCGGAGUUAACACGUUAAGUGCCCCGCCUGGGGAGUACGGUCGCAAGACUG
rnacentral:rRNA from 1 species